AAACUGCGAAUGGCUCAUUAAAUCAGUUAUCGUUUAUUUGAUAGUACCUUACUACUUGGAUAACCGUGGUAAUUCUAGAGCUAAUACAUGCCAAAAACCCCGACUUCGGGAGGGGUGUAUUUAUUAGAUAAAAAACCAAUGCCCUCUGGGCUCUUUGGUGAUUCAUGAUAACUUCGCGGAUCGCAUGGCCUUGCGCCGGCGACGGUUCAUUCAAAUUUCUGCCCUAUCAACUUUCGAUGGUAAGGUAUUGGCUUACCAUGGUCUCAACGGGUAACGGGGGAUUAGGGUUCGACUCCGGAGAGGGAGCCUGAGAAACGGCUACCACAUCCAAGGAAGGCAGCAGGCGCGCAAAUUACCCAAUCCCGACACGGGGAGGUAGUGACAAUAAAUACUGAUACAGGGCUCUUUUGGGUCUUGUAAUCGGAAUGAGUACAAUUUAAAUCCCUUAACGAGGAACAAUUGGAGGGCAAGUCUGGUGCCAGCAGCCGCGGUAAUUCCAGCUCCAAUAGCGUAUAUUAAAGUUGUUGCAGUUAAAAAGCUCGUAGUUGAACCUUGGGCCUGGCUGGCUGGUCCGCCUCACCGCGUGCACUGGCAUGGCCGGGCCUUUCCUCCUGGAGAGCCCCAUGCCCUUCACUGGGCGUGUGGGGGAACCAGGACUUUUACUUUGAAAAAAUUAGAGUGUUCAAAGCAGGCCUUUGCUCGAAUACAUUAGCAUGGAAUAAUGAAAUAGGACGUGCGGUCCUAUUUUGUUGGUUUCUAGGACCGCCCUAAUGAUUAAUAGGGACAGUCGGGGGCAUCCGUAUUCAAUUGUCAGAGGUGAAAUUCUUGGAUU
rnacentral:rRNA from 1 species